GAUGAACGCUGGCGGCGUGCUUAACACAUGCAAGUCGAACGAAGAUGCCGGAGUGCUUGCACUUUGGCAGACUGAGUGGCGGACGGGUGAGUAACGCGUGGGUAACCUGCCUUAUACAGGGGGAUAACAGUUGGAAACGACUGCUAAUACCGCAUAAGCGCACGGUAUCGCAUGAUACAGUGUGAAAAACUCCGGUGGUAUAAGAUGGACCCGCGUCUGAUUAGCUAGUUGGUGAGGUAACGGCCCACCAAGGCGACGAUCAGUAGCCGGCCUGAGAGGGUGAACGGCCACAUUGGGACUGAGACACGGCCCAAAACUCCUACGGGAGGCAGCAGUGGGGAAUAUUGCACAAUGGGGGAAACCCUGAUGCAGCGACGCCGCGUGAGUGAAGAAGCAUUUCGGUAUGUAAAGCUCUAUCAGCAGGGAAGAAAAUGACGGUACCUGACUAAGAAGCCCCGGCUAACUACGUG
rnacentral:rRNA from 1 species